AUUGAACGCUGGCGGCAGGCCUAACACAUGCAAGUCGAGCGGAUGAAGGGAGCUUGCUCCUGGAUUCAGCGGCGGACGGGUGAGUAAUGCCUAGGAAUCUGCCUGGUAGUGGGGGAUAACGUCCGGAAACGGGCGCUAAUACCGCAUACGUCCUGAGGGAGAAAGUGGGGGAUCUUCGGCCCUCACGCUAUCAGAUGAGCCUAGGUCGGAUUAGCUAGUUGGUGGGGUAAAGGCCUACCAAGGCGACGACCCGUAACUGGUCUGAGAGGAUGAUCAGUCACACUGGAACUGAGACACGGUCCAGACUCCUACGGGAGGCAGCAGUGGGGAAUAUUGGACAAUGGGCGAAAGCCUGAUCCAGCCAUGCCGCGUGUGUGAAGAAGGUCUUCGGAUUGUAAAGCACUUUAAGUUGGGAGGAAGGGCAGUAAGUUAAUACCUUGCUGUUUUGACGUUACCAACAGAAUAAGCACCGGCUAACUUCGUG
rnacentral:rRNA from 1 species